CGGUAGAACGACAGAGCGAG
rnacentral:misc_RNA from 1 species